rnacentral:tRNA from 1 species
GUGGAUAUAGCCAAACGGUAAGGCAAUAGUUUUAGGACUAUGAAUGUUGGUUCGAUUCCAACUAUCUCGCA